CUAUACUGCAGUCGAGCGGACAGAAGGGAGCUUGCUCCCGGAUGUUAGCGGCGGACGGGUGAGUAACACGUGGGUAACCUGCCUGUAAGACUGGGAUAACUCCGGGAAACCGGAGCUAAUACCGGAUAGUUCCUUGAACCGCAUGGUUCAAGGAUGAAAGACGGUUUCGGCUGUCACUUACAGAUGGACCCGCGGCGCAUUAGCUAGUUGGUGAGGGAACGGCUCACCAAGGCGACGAUGCGUAGCCGACCUGAGAGGGUGAUCGGCCACACUGGGACUGAGACACGGCCCAGACUCCUACGGGAGGCAGCAGUAGGGAAUCUUCCGCAAUGGACGAAAGUCUGACGGAGCAACGCCGCGUGAGUGAUGAAGGUUUUCGGAUCGUAAAGCUCUGUUGUUAGGGAAGAACAAGUGCAAGAGUAACUGCUUGCACCUUGACGGUACCUAACCAGAAAGCCACGGCUAACUACGUGCCAGCAGCCGCGGUAAUACGUACGUGGCAAGCGUUGUCCGGAAUUAUUGGGCGUAAAGGGCUCGCAGGCGGUUUCUUAAGUCUGAUGUGAAAGCCCCCGGCUCAACCGGGGAGGGUCAUUGGAAACUGGGAAACUUGAUUGCAGAAGAGGAGAGUGGAAUUCCACGUGUAGCGGUGAAAUGCGUAGAGAUGUGGAGGAACACCAGUGGCGAAGGCGACUCUCUGGUCUGUAACUGACGCUGAGGAGCGAAAGCGUGGGGAGCGAACAGGAUUAGAUACCCUGGUAGUCCACGCCGUAAACGAUGAGUGUUAAGUGUUAGGGGGUUUCCGCCCCUUAGUGCUGCAGCUAACGCAUUAAGCACUCCGCCUGGGGAGUACGGUCGCAAGACUGAAACUCAAAGGAAUUGACGGGGGCCCGCACAAGCGGUGGAGCAUGUGGUUUAAUUGGAAGCAACGGGAAGACCCUUACCAGGUCUUGACAUCCUCUGACAACCCUAGAGAUAGGGCUUUCCCUUCGGGGACAGAGUGACAGGUGGUGCAUGGUUGUCGUCAGCUCGUGUCGUGAGAUGUUGGGUUAAGUCCCGCAACGAGCGCAACCCUUGAUCUUAGUUGCCAGCAUUCAGUUGGGCACUCUAAGGUGACUGCCGGUGACAAACCGGAGGAAGGUGGGGAUGACGUCAAAUCAUCAUGCCCCUUAUGACCUGGGCUACACACGUGCUACAAUGGACAGAACAAAGGGCUGCGAGACCGCAAGGUUUAGCCAAUCCCACAAAUCUGUUUUCAGUUCGGAUCGCAGUCUGCAACUUGACUGCGUGAAGCUGGAAUCGCUAGUAAUCGCGGAUCAGCAUGCCGCGGUGAAUACGUUCCCGGGCCUUGUACACCCCGCCCGUCACCCCACGAGAGUUUGCAACACCCGAAGUCGGUGAGGUAACCUCUAUGGAGCCAGCCGCCGAAG
rnacentral:rRNA from 1 species